rnacentral:rRNA from 1 species
CGGGGCGGGCGUGCUAAUACAUGCAAGUCGAGCGAACAGACAAGGAGCUUGCUCCUUUGACGUUAGCGGCGGACGGGUGAGUAACACGUGGGUAACCUACCUAUAAGACUGGGAUAACUUCGGGAAACCGGAGCUAAUACCGGAUAAUAUUUCGAACCGCAUGGUUCGAUAGUGAAAGAUGGUUUUGCUAUCACUUAUAGAUGGACCCGCGCCGUAUUAGCUAGUUGGUAAGGUAACGGCUUACCAAGGCGACGAUACGUAGCCGACCUGAGAGGGUGAUCGGCCACACUGGAACUGAGACACGGUCCAGACUCCUACGGGAGGCAGCAGUAGGGAAUCUUCCGCAAUGGGCGAAAGCCUGACGGAGCAACGCCGCGUGAGUGAUGAAGGUCUUCGGAUCGUAAAACUCUGUUAUUAGGGAAGAACAUACGUGUAAGUAACUAUGCACGUCUUGACGGUACCUAAUCAGAAAGCCACGGCUAACUACGUGCCAGCAGCCGCGGUAAUACGUAGGUGGCAAGCGUUAUCCGGAAUUAUUGGGCGUAAAGCGCGCGUAGGCGGUUUUUUAAGUCUGAUGUGAAAGCCCACGGCUCAACCGUGGAGGGUCAUUGGAAACUGGAAAACUUGAGUGCAGAAGAGGAAAGUGGAAUUCCAUGUGUAGCGGUGAAAUGCGCAGAGAUAUGGAGGAACACCAGUGGCGAAGGCGACUUUCUGGUCUGUAACUGACGCUGAUGUGCGAAAGCGUGGGGAUCAAACAGGAUUAGAUACCCUGGUAGUCCACGCCGUAAACGAUGAGUGCUAAGUGUUAGGGGGUUUCCGCCCCUUAGUGCUGCAGCUAACGCAUUAAGCACUCCGCCUGGGGAGUACGACCGCAAGGUUGAAACUCAGAGGAAUUGACGGGGACCCGCACAAGCGGUGGAGCAUGUGGUUUAAUUCGAAGCAACGCGAAGAACCUUACCAAAUCUUGACAUCCUUUGACAACUCUAGAGAUAGAGCCUUCCCCUUCGGGGGACAAAGUGACAGGUGGUGCAUGGUUGUCGUCAGCUCGUGUCGUGAAAUGUUGGG